rnacentral:tRNA from 1 species
UGGGGUGGUAGGCCUCGGGAGGCCGGGCGCGGUGGUCGCCCCAGAAGCCGAAGGUGAGGAUCCACGGAUCGUCGCUGCCCACGCCGU